rnacentral:rRNA from 2 species
AGACCCGAAACCCGGUGAUCUAGCCAUGGGCAGGUUGAAGGUUGGGUAACACUAACUGGAGGACCGAACCGACUAAUGUUGAAAAAUUAGCGGAUGACUUGUGGCUGGGGGUGAAAGGCCAAUCAAACCGGGAGAUAGCUGGUUCUCCCCGAAAGCUAUUUAGGUAGCGCCUCGUGAAUUCAUCUCCGGGGGUAGAGCACUGUUUCGGCAAGGGGGUCAUCCCGACUUACCAACCCGAUGCAAACUGCGAAUACCGGAGAAUGUUAUCACGGGAGACACACGGCGGGUGCUAACGUCCGUCGUGAAGAGGGAAACAACCCAGACCGCCAGCUAAGGUCCCAAAGUCAUGGUUAAGUGGGAAACGAUGUGGGAAGGCCCAGACAGCCAGGAUGUUGGCUUAGAAGCAGCCAUCAUUUAAAGAAAGCGUAAUAGCUCACUGGUCGAGUCGGCCUGCGCGG